rnacentral:lncRNA from 7 species
CCGGAUGCAGAUACCGGCAGGUCUGUCACAAAGCAAGAAGUGGCCCUGGGGUUUGUCAUUUUGGGGACAGUCUUGUGAACUUGUGAUCUAUGGACGGGGAAAAUAGCAGCGUGGAUUUCAGGCAUUCUGCAAGUGGUUUUUCUCCUGCUGAGAGGCACGAUGGUGAGUGUUGGUUUGGGUGUUGGGUGCUCACUGCUAACUUGGUUUGGGGGUUUCUUGUUUCAUUGUUUUCCCCAAGAAACACCAGGAAUGUUGGCUGAGUUAUGGGCUGAUCCUGGUUUGUAGUGGGGACAGGAGGAAGGAAGGGAUGGGGAAGAAGGAAGCCUGCAAGUGUCCGGAGGUGGGAUGGAUGUACAUCAAAAAUCAGCCCUCAUCAGGAAACCCGAUGUGAGGAAUUGGAAGUUGAAUCUGAAAUGGUGAUAAUGCAGCCUGGGUCCUGGUGGGAUGACUCUACACAGACCCACUUGCUGCCAAGCGCCAUCUGCUCUACCCUGGGAUCAUUUCACAAGCUCCUUCCCCACGGGGAACCACUGCAGCAACUGGUUAGGAUCCACAGACCCCCAGAACUGGGGGAAACACAGCAGCCGUCAACUUCUGAAGCAACGUUGCGCGGGAACCACGAUGGAAGAUCUGUUUUUAAACAAAUGGGGACUCUUCCAGCUCCCACCCUCUGCCCACGCUGGCACCGGGUCUUCCUGAAAACCAGUGCUCUGGGGCUGCUGCUGCUACUGCUGACUGCGCUCGGCGUGCAGGGUGAGUGACAAGCUUGUAACCACAUCCACCGCAUAGAAACCACAGCUUCUCAGAGCAGAAAUCUGGUCCUUUUCCCCCAGAGUGCUAUCUGGGCUUUGUGUCGGGCUGGGGAUGACCACCCAGCAAUCCCAGUGCUUCACGCAACAUGAGCAGAAAUUGCAAGCAAUAUUUCUAUGCUUUCAGCUGGCUUCACUAAUUGAGGGCAACCACAACCAGAAUAGAUUGGCACAAAAGCUGGAGGGUCCAACCCCAUCUCUGCUUGCUUCCCAUGGCUUUGUCCCCACACAAGCACAUCUCACCCCACUUUCUGCCUUAGAGUUUCUUGGAAAGCAACACCACAUCCAAGCACUCCCCAGCACAGCACUGAGAUCCGGGGGAGGAAUGGGGUGGAGCCGUGUGUGACCUCUUCCCUUCUGCAGUAUCUUUACCGAUCCACCAGGGGCAGCAACCUGGAAGGACCACGGAGGAGCAGCUGCUGAGGGAAGCUGUAGGGAAGGAGCCUGGGAUGGGGGAUAGCACUCGAGGUUGUGGGGACCUAUGGUGACGGGAAUCUUGGGGAGCACAUUUUUGGGAGCACUCGACAGAUGUGCAGGGCGGGGAACAGAGAGGCAGUCUCCCUGGGGGUUCCCACAGGGCUGCUGUGUCACUGAGGGAAAUGUGGCUUUUCCUGAACCGCAGAUGUCUGCUAUGAGGAGAGGGGGGAGG